rnacentral:rRNA from 1 species
GUGCAGCAGUCGCGAAUCUUCCCAAUGGACGAAAGUCUGAGGGAGCGACGCCGCGUGAAUGAAGAAGCCCUUCGGGGUGUAAAUUCUUUCUUAGGAAAAUUCGUGAUGGUACUAAAGGAAUAAGGGCCGCCAAACUCGUGCCAGGCAGCGGCGGUAAUACGAGUGCCCCGAGCGUUAUCCGGAAUUACUGGGCGUAAAAGCGGCUAAAAGGCGGUUUGAUAAGUCAGACGUCAAAUCUCCGAGCUCAACUCGGA